UUUUUUUUUUCUUUUUAAUUUUAUGGUCACAUCUGCUGCCUAUGGAAGUUCCUGGGACCAGGGAUAGAAUCUGAGCCACAGCUGCAACCUACGCCACAGUGCUGACAAAACCACAUCCUUUAACUCACUGUGCCAGGUGGGGAUCAAACCUACACCUCUGCAGCAACCCAAGCCACUGAAGUCAGAUUCUUAACUCACUGUGCUACUUUUGCUCAGUUUUAAAUUGAGGUUUUUAUUAUUAUUAUUAUUUUGUUGUUUUAGAAGUUCUCUGUGUAUUCUGAAUAUUAAUCCCUUCUUUUGACAAGUAUUUUUUUUUUCCACUCUAAGUUGCCUUUUUACUCUGUUGAUAACAACGUUUGUUACUCAAGUUUUAAAAUUUUCAUGUAGUCCAAUUUGUCUGUUUUCUCUUUUGUUGCCUGUGCCUUUGGUAUCAUAUCCAAGAAAUCUUUGCCAGAUCCAAGGUCAUGAAGAUGUUGAGCUCUCUCUUCUUCUGAGAAUUUUAUAGAUUGAAGUUUAACAUUCAAGUCUUGGAUCCAUUACAAAUAAAUUUUUUUUUUUGUCUUUUUAGGGCCACACCCAGGGCAUAUGGAAUUCCCAGACUAGGGAUUGAAUCAGAGCAUAACUGCUGGCCUACGCCACAGCCACAACGAUGCAGGAUCGAAGCUGCAUCUGCCAUCUACACCACAGUUCAGGGCAACUCUAGAUCCCCAACCCUCUGAGUGAGGCCAGGGAUCUAACCUGGGUCCUCAUGGAUACUAGUCAGGUUUGUUACCUCUGAGCCACAAUGCGAACUCCACAAAUUAAUUUUUAUAUAUGGUGUUAGAUAAGUGUCAAACUUGAUUCUUUUGCAUGUGGAUAUAUCCAUUUUUCCCAGAAUCACUUGCUAUAAAGACUGUCCUUUCCCAUUGCUUAAAGUAUUCAUAGGUCUUUUCUGAGCCUUUCCCUGGACAUGCACAGCACAAUCACUCUCUAACAUUUCCAUGUGUGCAGUUGUUUUAAAAAGAACAAGUCUUUUAUGUUUGUCUCCCAAGAGUGGGGAAAGAGUACAAUGAAAGGCAUGGUGAAGGAGCGCAUUAGUUUAAAUCACCUGGGAGUCACUUCAGCCAGAGAAGGAGAGGGUCACAUCAACAGUGAACACAUCUACUAUGGCAAUGACUGUGUACUUCAAUAUCUCCGUGACCAGAAGUAGCAGUCAUUGCACUGAUUCCCAAUAUUUGGAGGAUAGGGUCCUUUUUGCCCACCCUGGCUCCUGAGAGCUACAUGCAGGUUUGUUCCUUUUCAAGAACAUAUGCUAAUUUUCCUGGAAUGAGUAGGGGAUGAGUGGCUGAUUACUGUGCCAGAGGUGGGAAAUGGGUAGCGGUUACUGCACUGGGUGCUGAAAUGGACCAAUAUUAACCACAAUUUAUCACCCAAGCCUAUAGGAAAACACACUCUCCCCAGUACCAUUUCUGUGCCAGUGCUCAUAUAUCCAUUAUCUCAGUUAAGUCUCACAACAAGCUAGUGCAGGAGAUACUCUUUUUAUUUUCAGUGUGUAGAGGAGGAAAUCAAGUGUUAUAAAAGUGUGGUCUCCUGAGUAAGAACAUUCAUCUCAUAAGUGUUGCCUGAGAUCUGAAACCAUGGAUAUCUAACUCCAGAGGUAUUAAUAUUAUUGCCUGUCUUCCCCACCCAUUCUAGAUUUGAGUUUAUCAUCUCUCCUGCAACAACCCUAUUGCCUUUGUAUGGGUUUCUAUUGAUGCCAUAUGAGAUUACCACAAAUUUAGCACCUUAUAUAUUACACACAUUUAUUACCUCACAUUUCUGUGGGUCAGAAGUUCCAGGGUGCUGGACUGACUUCUCGGCUUUGGUCUCACAAGAACAAAAUCAAGGUCUCAGGUAGACCAGAGGAUCUGGAGAAAAAUCUGUUCAUAGGCUCAGUUAGAAUAUCGGAAAAAUUCAAUUCCGAGUGGUUGAAGGAUGGAGGUCCCUGUUUUCUCCCUAGUGGUUGGCCAAGGAUUGUUCUAGAGGCCUCCAUAUUCCCUGGUUUGUGGCCCCUCAUGUUCCAAGUCAGUAGGAGCAGGUUAAGUCCUUCUCACACUUUGAAUUGCUAUAACUUUCCCUCUGCCUUAUCUCUCCUAUUUCCAGCUACAGAAAUAUCUCUGCUUUUAAGGACUAUUGUGAUUAAAUUGGACCCAUGUGGAUAAUCCAGGAUAGCCUCCUUAUUUUAAGGCCCUUAACUGUAAUGCAAUCCGCAAAGUCCCUUUUGCUAUGUUAUAUAACACGCUGCCAGAUUUCAGGUUUUAGGCCAUAGACAUCUCUGGGGACCUUCCUGUCCACCAUCCCUUGAACUUCACAUCACUCAAUUGUAUCACCCCUUUCUUUCUUUGUCAUAUCAGUAAUAUUUUCUAUUCUUCUUACAGUCACUUAAAUUUGUGGUAUUGUACUUUUUUGACAUUUUCUUCCUGUAUCAACUCUGACAUCACCCUAAGAUAUAUUUGUGGCCACUCUGACCUUCUUUUUCACUACCAAGUAUUUUGAACUCCAGUGUACUUUUCAUGGUCAUGCUUUGUUUUGUGCUUCCAAAUGGGAACCUGCAGAAAGAAGUAGAAGUUGUCACUCAGAUGCAUAUGAGGCUGAAUUUUGAUAACAAGAUUACCGGCUUUUAUUUGAUAGUUUGUGUGCGCAUAUUGGAUUAAAAUCAAAUUUAAGAAGCAUGAACAAUACCUGGUAAUAGAGGAUAUGAUUAUGCAGCAUCCAUCAAAACAUGUCAGUAAACUGAUUUUUAAAAAAUCAAGAGUAAACAAUUUCAUAGACUCAAAUGUCAGGUUUUGGUAGAAAGAAAUAUGAUUUUGGAAUGAAACCUUUUAACAGUUCUNGUGGGAUGACAGGAAUUGAUUCUGGCAUUGACGUUUGAAUUCCCUUGCUGCUUUUAAAAACAUAUUAAGCAGGAGAUCAGACUAAAUUUGGUUACAUCAAUAUGAUUUUAGAGAGAGAAUAUGAUUUACAUGCUGUAUAAAACCCAUUUUCUCCAUUAGGGAUAGAGAAAUGGGCCAUCUUCGUGAUGAAGUCAUAUAUGAUCUCAGUUAAAGAGGAGCCAUGGAGGUGCUCUUGUAUGUAAUGAAGACUUAAGAAGAUGCUAAGAUUUUCUCUGUGGGUUGAUGUUUUACUGCAUCAAUUUAUCCACUGUAGCUACCCGGGAGGCACCUAUCCCAUUGUUUCUGGACUGCCACCAAAGUGCCAGCCACAAAUUUUCAUAUUUUACAAUAGGAGAAAUGGCAUCUUGCAAAAUGAGAUUUUUAUAAAUUACACAUAAAAAUAAGCUAUUCAAGCCCUGAGAAAAGUUUUUUUUUAAUUGAGCUUGACUUUACUUCCUGAAUCCAAUCACACAGCUCAAACAGUUUGUAAAUUUUUCAAACAUAAAUAAUGUUUUUGUUUUAAAAAAAAAAAUCACAUUGUGGAGGUUUUUCUGAUUUAGUAGGUUUAGAGUAUUUAGAAGGUCAGGAAUCUGAAUGUUUAAUAAAUACCCCAUCCACCCCAUCUAAUUCUGUUGAUGAUCAUCACAGAUGGACCGUGCUUUGAGUAAUAAUGUUCAAGUGCUACUUUUCCCAGCUGCUUUUUCAAAUUAUGGGAGAGGGAGAAAGGAAAAAAAAAAAGGAAGGGAGAGAAGGGGGAAACAAGAAGGAAGGAAAAGAACUAAAACUCUGACCUUCAAAAACAAAAACAAAAAAAGUGUGUUCCGUGUUCUGUCUCCCUACUCCCUCUUAUACCACAGACCUAAUAAUAAUACCUCCAACUAAAAGUCAAAGUUCAUUUUUCAUUAAGAAUUCAUAGCUUCUGGAAAGCUGUGAGGCUCUAAGAGCUCUUCAAUGACUCAAGUGGAAAUGCUUCUAAAAGGCUAAAGUAAGAGCCAAAGUUCAAGCCAUGUCCCCCAUAUCUCCCUGGAAUGGGCUUCUAUUCAAAUAGAUAUAAUAGCAAUUUACUUUCUCUUUAUUAUUCCCCUUUCAAAAACACCAAAAAAAAUCAUAUAUUAUACUCUCAGUGAAUGGUUACCCUGAUUAUUUCAAAAUGCAAAUGAUUAUAGAAAUUUGGAGCUGGGGCAAUAAUGACAAAUCCUUACUGACAGUGUAGUCAUUGAAAAAUCAUUGGAGCAAGGUACCCAUUCAAGAGUUUUAAUUUGCAAUCAAGUCAAGAGCUAUUCUAGGGAAGCAAGAAACUGUUUGAUGGACAGAAGUUCAACCCAAAAUGGGAAAGCAACCCAAUAAGGGAGCCAUGAAGAAUAUCCAAGAGAUUAACAUGUAAAGCCAAUCUAUCAAGAUUUGCAAGUUACUAAAUGAGGUCACACUGAUGAAUGUCCUAUAGGUAGUCUUUCUCAAACAAGUGAUUUAGAUCCUUUUAAUGAAAUAUAACACUGAACACAGGAAGUAAAUAUCCAAUUGUAAGAAUAUGCUACUCGCUUUCAACUUUAACACUUAUUCAGCAACUAUUGGAUGUAAGUGUCAUGCUAUAAGGUUGGGAAUGAGAGGUUGUAUAAUUAAUAAGACAUGGCGUGAUGCCCUCUAAGGAACUCACAAUCCAGCAGGGAUCUAACUGUGAGUAAAUAUGGAACACUCCAUUCUUCGGAUUCAAAAAGGAAAUGCGAGCGAGAAAAUAAAAGGAACAUUUUUUUAGUGCUUCCUCCCAUGCCUGGCAUUAUGCUAAGUUGUGUGUAUUUGUUAUGUAUUGUUGGUCAAAUAAGUGGCCACUUUUCCAUUAUAUCCUAGAAGCAUAUUGCUGGAAUGUAAACAAACAAUAAAAAUAACCUUCAGUUUCUUGAAGCCUUCCUCAUUUCUAAGUUCAUAGCUUGUUUUACUACAAAAUAUCACCUUAUCAGGAAAUACCUUACUGUCCAAAUAUCCAAUAGCAAAUUCAGAAUUCAAAAGAAAGAACACAGUCUGUUUGCUGGUCUGUUUCUUCACACUCAUAAUUCCCAGAGGGCUCUCUGGGGGUCUCGUUUUCUCAUGAAAAGGUGUUUUUGAAUGUAGGACCCAAAAUGAAGUCAAGGUGAAACCUGAAGCCUUAACAUAAAACCACCUUACCUCAGGAGCUAACCUCACCCCCAGGGAUAUCCUGUCUUGAGUUUUCCAACACCACACCUCUCUCCAAGCCAAAUGCCCGCACUGCAGGGACAUAGCAGAGUCUGAGACUGUACCAUAUUGCUGCGCUCCCUCUGGAUGUGAGCUUUUUGGAAAGAAACCAGCUCUUCCUGUCCUUUCUCCAAAGUACAAAACUGGGAGCACUGAGCACAGAGCAAUGCAGUCUUCUCAGGUUGCCCUUGAUACCUCCUGGAGAUAAAACGCUACCAUUUUUGAACACUUGAGGUCCUG
ensembl:lncRNA